AGCUUUGUGCAGUGGCAGUAUCAUAGCCAAUGAGGUUUAUCUGAGGUGUGAUUAUUACCAAUUGAAAACUUAUAUAUUCUAAGAGACAAUCAGAGGAAGGGAAACUUCC
ensembl:snRNA U4 U4 spliceosomal RNA